rnacentral:rRNA from 1 species
UACGGAGGAUGCAAGCGUUAUCCGGAUUUAUUGGGCGUAAAGCGUCCGCAGGUGGCUAUUCAAGUCUGCUGUCAAAGCUCGGAGCUUAACUCCGAAUCGGCGGUGGAAACUGAACAGCUAGAGUGCAGUAGGGGUAGAGGGAAUUCCCAGUGUAGCGGUGAAAUGCGUAGAGAUUGGGAAGAACACCGGUGGCGAAAGCGCUCUACUGGACUGCAACCGACACUCAGGGACGAAAGCUAGGGGAGCGAAUGGG